GCCCCCACUCGUUGCUCUCGAGUUCGAGUGGGAUACGGGUUCGACUUCCGGGGUACAGAAUCGAGGGUUUUGAUGCUGCACUGCUUCGUGGUUUCGAACUAUUCUCAUAUCGUUUCUACCUAGAUUUAAUACAUUGAGAUGAAAUUUGGGGGAGAACGUCGGCCCUCUGGAAGUUCCAGACGGACUAGCCCCUUUAAUCCUCCAUCUAUCUCUAGAUCUUAGUCUCAUUUCUGGAGAAAACUGUCUAAUCCCCUUCUUGUUCAUUAGAAUUACCAUUUAUUCAUGAUAACUAAAUUUAGGCAUCCAAGGGAACGCUAUGCCCUGGGCAUAAGCAAGUGAUACUAUGCCUGCACAUAGGCAAGGGCUGGACUCCCUUUCUAGCCUCUGAAUUUUGUUGCUGGAGUGUUGCCAUGAUGGACUAGGUCGAUGCUUGGGUUCUUCCUUUCUUGACCAGAGGAAAGGGAAGAUAGAGGAAAUGGUGCCCGUGAUUGCACUGUUACCUUUGUCAGUUAGCUCUGAACACAUAGUAAAUGGUACUGGACAAUACACAAGAUAUGAAUUAUCGAUGGCAUUGUUUGUAUGGAUAAACAGGUGUAGGACCAAACCACUUCCGCACCGUGUGUAUUACCAAAACAGUAUGAUAUGAUUGCUUUAUGGCCUGAAUUUAGCUUCUGUGGUUGCAUUUGUCAUGGUGGUUUGAUCGAAGCAAUGUAAACUGAGCCCAGAAAGCUUUGAGCACCAACACUAUGUUUUUUUAAAAAAUUCUGGAUCUUGAUAACUUGGAAAAGAUGAUAGCAUAAGUUAUAAAUUUUUGCGGGGGCAUUUUUUCCUGUUUUGAUGUUGUAAAAACAAGUAAUAAACUUUGGUGGGGGGAUUUUCCUGUUAUUGUGUGGUGUCUUUGACAGCUUUACAAUUGAAGAAUAUUGGCAUUGAAUUCAGGAACCAUAUGUGGUAAACAGAUUUGAAGUUUUAUUGAAUUUUCUUUUGAGGGACGGUAAUGCAUACUUUGUAUUGCAUUAACUACAGUUAUCAGUGGGCUAAUAACAGACUUGCAAUUAAGGAACAAUAACUUAUUGGUGAUAAUGUCCGAUUCAUUUGUGUGGUAAGAUGUUAAUAGGAUCAUUCAAUACUAGGUAUUUCCCUUCUGUUGCACUUUGAUCAUUUACAGCCUUUUCUUGCAUAGUUGAAUAGGUGUAAUUAUGAUGGAAAUGUUUCAUGCGUUUGUUUCCAAGAUGUUGCUGCAUGGCUUGCCGCUCAGGUCAUUAUGUUGCAGUCCGUGUUGGAGAGUUCGAUCGAUCGAUUGACAUUUUGAAUGUUUUUUUUUCAUGCGGUGAAAUCGAGCUCACCCCACCCCUUUCUUCAGUUUCUAAUCCUGUCUCAUCUGUGCCGAUUCCUUCCUGUCAUGCUACAAAGCACAUGGCGUUUGCAAACCUUUGGUGUUGGGUGAUCACCAUUAUUGAGGGUAAUGCAGUGGCUGAGGCUAGGCAGCGGUAGUCGGAUAUGCUCUUCUUCUACUCAGACGAAGUUAUACUAAGAACCUUGUGUUUCCACCAAAGUCUGAUAAAAGGACUCCAUGGAAACAAACUGUUCUCGUACUCCAUUGGGCGAUUUGACGAACCACAAUGAUGGAGGGGCUGAGAGGGAAAGGGAGAGAGCAAGGUAUGCAGCAAUGUCUCAGUCUGAGAAAAAUGCGAGAAAUUUGAGGCAGCGUGAAGCGCGUCAAAAAACAAAAGAACAUCAUAAUCUCAUGGAAAUAGUUGAUUCUCGUGCUCCAUUUGGCGACUUGACAAACCAGAGUAAUGGAGGUAAUUAUUAAUAGAAGAGGUUACUUGAGUUAAAAAGAUAGACACACUGACUAUAUAUGUUAUGCUAUUUACACUGCGGGGGCUAGGAGCGCACCCAAUCCACAGCCAGCAACCAAUGAUAGUAAGCAUCGAAAGCAGGAAAGGGAUAGAGCAAGGUAUGCAGCAAUGUCUCGAGAAGAGAAGAAUGCGAGAAAUCUGAGACAGCGUGAAUCACGACAAAAAAAGAAAGGUGCUAAAUAUUUUUUAUUUGUGGUGUUACAAAUGGAUUAUAUGUAAUCAAGAACUUCUGCAUAUGGUUCCCACGAUUCUGAGCACCGAAAUAAUAUGUAUUACUAGCCUAAUACGUACCAUGUGAAGGCCAUCUUGAUGCUUUUUCUGAAAUGGUAUAUAGUCCUCCAUAUGGUAGGCUUAAUUGCAGUACAUUUGUACUGUACCUUUGUGAUGCUUCGAACCAAAUCUGUUAUACUAAGAUUAACUUUUGGGUUGCUUGUGAA